GAUGGAAAAAUCCUUUAUGGGAGUGAUGGAUCUUCUACACUGUAUCAGAUUGACCCUCAAACUAUGAAAGGUUUUGUCGUCUGAAGUAGUUAAGAAACAAAUCGUAAAUUAUCAAGGUGAUGAAGUACACAGACUCAAUGAACUAGAGUAUGUUUAUGACGAAGUUUGGGCGAAUGUUUGGAUGACUGACUGUAUAGCUAGAAUAUCACAAACUGAUGGCUCAGUUCUUGGAUGGAUUCUUCUCCCCAAUCUGAGAGAAGGAUUGCUACACAAUUUGAAAAAGCAAAUUGACGUGCUGAAUGGCAUAGCAUGGGAUAGGGAUGGUGACCGUCUUUUUGUCACAGGCAAAUUAUGGCCGAAGCUUUAUGAGAUUAAGUUGCACCCUUUGAAGACACCAUUCAACGGAGACAUCAAGCAGAUGUGCAUGCCCCCGGCAUUUCCAUUUUCAUGAUCCCUGCAGUGGAUUUUUCUUUUUCAAAUUCUG
rnacentral:misc_RNA from 1 species